rnacentral:rRNA from 1 species
AGUGAACGCUGGCGGUAGGCCUAACACAUGCAAGUCGAACGGCAGCACAGUAAGAGCUUGCUCUUACGGGUGGCGAGUGGCGGACGGGUGAGGAAUACAUCGGAAUCUACUUUUUCGUGGGGGAUAACGUAGGGAAACUUACGCUAAUACCGCAUACGACCUACGGGUGAAAGCAGGGGAUCUUCGGACCUUGCGCGAUUGAAUGAGCCGAUGUCGGAUUAGCUAGUUGGCGGGGUAAAGGCCCACCAAGGCGACGAUCCGUAGCUGGUCUGAGAGGAUGAUCAGCCACACGGGAUCUGAGACACGGUCCAGACUCCGACGGGAGGCAGCAGUGCGGAAUAUUGGACAAUGGGCGCAAGCCUGAUCCAGCCAUACCGCGUGGGUGAAGAAGGCCUUCGGGUUGUAAAGCCCUUUUGUUGGGAAAGAAGAGCAGCAGGUUAAUACCCCGCUGUUCUGACGGUACCCAAAGAAUAAGCACCGGCUAACUUCGUG